CAUGGCCGAGCGGUCUAAGGCGCUGGUUUAAGGCACCAGUCAUUUCGAUGGGUGGGUUCGAAUCCCACUG
rnacentral:tRNA from 1 species